CUCCUGGAUGCCCGAGUGCCCCGCGAGCAGGGUGCAGAGGGCAGGACACAGGCUGGGGCGGCCCGGGCGAGGGGGAGCCGCGCGGUCUUCGCCUGCUACCCUUCCUGAAGGAGGAGGCUGAGUGGGGCUCAGAUGGGGAGGGGUCCUAGAGAGGAGAGGCGGGCUUGCCCGGCCCGUCUGAAAGGCACGUUAGAGUAAAUGGGAAUGACUGACCCUCCAAAAUUAUUCGGAUCUUUCCAACAACUCACACCUCCGUUAAGAGCUGCGCCACGCCGAGCCCGCCCUGCGUCGGGGGCGGGUUAGGGGCAGGGGCAACCAACAGCGACAGGGAGGCUGUGCGGGCUCCCAAGAGGAUGCCUGGGGCCAGUCCUGAGAGGCCUUCCCUGAACCUCCGCUGGAAACAGCUUCUGCAAACGAAUGAGAACAUGCCAACAAGAUUUCAGCAAGAAGAGAGAACAUAUACAAAAAUGCUUAUGGACAUCAGCAUUGUGUUUCUGUGAUGGUCUUAAUGAAAUGACAUUCCUUAGGUGUCUGUUUCUCAAUGAGGAAGGAAACGACAGACAAUGUAAAUUUUGUCCCAUUUAAAAUGAAUAGAGUGGAGAAGUGCAGCCUUUCUAGUAGAAACACAUCAUGUCAAACCUACAGAUCACUCCUCCAUUGCUGGUAAAAAAAUAAAAGGUAAAUCAAUGCAU